rnacentral:rRNA from 1 species
UACGAAGGGGGCUAGCGUUGUUCGGAAUUACUGGGCGUAAAGGGCGCGUAGGCGGUACUUCAAGUCAGGCGUGAAAGCCCCGGGCUCAACCUGGGAACCGCGCUUGAGACUGGAGAACUAGAGUUCGGGAGAGGAUGGUGGAAUUCCCAGUGUAGAGGUGAAAUUCGUAGAUAUUCGGAAGAACACCAGUGGCGAAGGCGCUCACCGGCCCGGUUCACCGACGCCUCCAGGCGCGACAGCGUGGGGA